AUUGAACGCUGGCGGCAGGCCUAACACAUGCGAGUCGAGCGGAUGAAGGGAGCUUGCUCCUGGAUUCAGCGGCGGACGGGUGAGUAAUGCCUAGGAAUCUGCCUGGUAGUGGGGGAUAACGUCCGGAAACGGGCGCUAAUACCGCAUACGUCCUGAGGGAGAAAGUGGGGGAUCUUCGGACCUCACGCUAUCAGAUGAGCCUAGGUCGGAUUAGCUAGUUGGUGGGGCAAAGGCCUACCAAGGCGACGAUCCGUAACUGGUCUGAGAGGAUGAUCAGUCACACUGGAACUGAGACACGGUCCAGACUCCUACGGGAGGCAGCAGUGGGGAAUAUUGGACAAUGGGCGAAAGCCUGAUCCAGCCAUGCCGCGUGUGUGAAGAAGGUCUUCGGAUUGUAAAGCACUUUAAGUUGGGAGGAAGGGCAGUAAGUUAAUACCUUGCUGUUUUGACGUUACCAACAGAAUAAGCACCGGCUAACUUCGUG
rnacentral:rRNA from 1 species